rnacentral:rRNA from 1 species
UAGGGAAUCUUCGGCAAUGGGGGCAACCCUGACCGAGCAACGCCGCGUGAGUGAAGAAGGUUUUCGGAUCGUAAAGCUCUGUUGUAAGAGAAGAACGUGUGUGAGAGUGGAAAGUUCACACAGUGACGGUAACUUACCAGAAAGGGACGGCUAACUACGUGCCAGCAGCCGCGGUAAUACGUAGGUCCCGAGCGUUGUCCGGAUUUAUUGGGCGUAAAGCGAGCGCAGGCGGUUUAAUAAGUCUGAAGUUAAAGGCAGUGGCUUAACCAUUGUUCGCUUUGGAAACUGUUAAACUUGAGUGCAGAAGGGGAGAGUGGAAUUCCAUGUGUAGCGGUGAAAUGCGUAGAUAUAUGGAGGAGCGCCGGUGGCGAAAGCGGCUCUCUGGUCUGUAACUGACGCUGAGGCUCGAAAGCGUGGGGAGCAAACAGG